AUUGAACGCUGGCGGCAUGCCUUACACAUGCAAGUCGAACGGCAGCACGGGAGCAAUCCUGGUGGCGAGUGGCGAACGGGUGAGUAAAGUAUCGGAACGUGCCCAGUCGUGGGGGAUAACGUAGCGAAAGUUACGCUAAUACCGCAUACGAUCUAUGGAUGAAAGCGGGGGAUCGCAAGACCUCGCGCGAUUGGAGCGGCCGAUAUCAGAUUAGGUAGUUGGUGGGGUAAAGGCUCACCAAGCCGACGAUCUGUAGCUGGUCUGAGAGGACGACCAGCCACACUGGGACUGGGACACGGCCCAGACUCCUACGGGAGGCAGCAGUGGGGAAUUUUGGACAAUGGUCGAAAGCUUGAUCCAGCCAUGCCGCGUGCAGGACGAAGGCCUUCGGGUUGUAAACUGCUUUUGUACGGAACGAAAAGGUUUGGCCUAAUAAGCUGAGCUCAUGACGGUACCGUAAGAAUAAGCACCGGCUAACUACGUGCCAGCCGCCGCGGUAA
rnacentral:rRNA from 1 species